GACGAACGCUGGCGGCGUGCUUAACACAUGCAAGUCGAACGAUGAAGCCAGCUUGCUGGUGGAUUAGUGGCGAACGGGUGAGUAACACGUGGGCAACCUGCCCCCGGCUCUGGGAUAACUCCAAGAAAUUGGUGCUAAUACCGGAUAUUCACAUUCUCUCGCAUGGGGGUUUGUGGAAAGUUUUUCGGCUGGGGAUGGGCCCGCGGCCUAUCAGCUUGUUGGUGGGGUGAUGGCCUACCAAGGCGACGACGGGUAGCCGGCCUGAGAGGGUGACCGGCCACACUGGGACUGAGACACGGCCCAGACUCCUACGGGAGGCAGCAGGGGGGAAUAUUGCGCAAUGGGCGGAAGCCUGACGCAGCGACGCCGCGUGAGGGAUGACGGCCUUCGGGUUGUAAACCUCUUUCAGCAGGGACGAAGCGGAAGUGACGGUACCUACAGAAGAAGCACCGGCCAACUACGUGCCAGCAGCCGCCGUAAAAC
rnacentral:rRNA from 1 species